AUUGAACGCUGGCGGCAGGCCUAACACAUGCAAGUCGAGCGGUAGCACAAAGGAGCUUGCUCCUUGGGUGACGAGCGGCGGACGGGUGAGUAAUGUCUGGGGAUCUGCCUGAUGGAGGGGGAUAACUACUGGAAACGGUAGCUAAUACCGCAUAACGUCGCAAGACCAAAGUGGGGGACCUUCGGGCCUCACGCCAUCGGAUGAACCCAGAUGGGAUUAGCUAGUAGGUGGGGUUACGGCUCACCUAGGCGACGAUCCCUAGCUGGUCUGAGAGGAUGACCAGCCACACUGGAACUGAGACACGGUCCAGACUCCUACGGGAGGCAGCAGUGGGGAAUAUUGCACAAUGGGGGAAACCCUGAUGCAGCCAUGCCGCGUGUGUGAAGAAGGCCUUCGGGUUGUAAAGCACUUUCAGCGGGGAGGAAGGCGGUAAGGUUAAUAACCUUAUCGAUUGACGUUACCCGCAGAAGAAGCACCGGCUAACUCCGUGCCAGCCGCCGCGGUAA
rnacentral:rRNA from 1 species